rnacentral:rRNA from 1 species
GAUGAACGCUGGCGGCGUGCCUAAUACAUGCAAGUCGAGCGAACGGACGAGAAGCUUGCUUCUCUGAUGUUAGCGGCGGACGGGUGAGUAACACGUGGAUAACCUACCUAUAAGACUGGGAUAACUUCGGGAAACCGGAGCUAAUACCGGAUAAUAUUUUGAACCGCAUGGUUCAAAAGUGAAAGACGGUCUUGCUGUCACUUAUAGAUGGAUCCGCGCUGCAUUAGCUAGUUGGUAAGGUAACGGCUUACCAAGGCAACGAUGCAUAGCCGACCUGAGAGGGUGAUCGGCCACACGGGAGCUGGGACGCGGUCCAGACUCCUGCGGGAAGCAGCAGUAGGGAAUCUUCCGCAAUGGGCGAAAGCCUGACGGAGCAAGGCGGCGUGAGUGGUGAAGGUCUUCGGAGCGUAAAGCUCUGUUAUUAGGGAAGAACAUAUGUGUAAGUAACUGUGCACAUCUUGACGGUACCUAAUCAGAAAGCCACGGCUAACUACGUG